rnacentral:lncRNA from 1 species
GGGGAAGGCAAACUGGGCCAGGCACGCUCAUGCCUGUAAUCCCAGCGCUUUGGGAGGCCGAGGUGGGUGGAUCAUGAGGUCAAGAAAUCGAGACCAGCCUGGCCAACGUGGUGAAACCCCGUCUCUACUAAAAAUACAAAAAUCAGCUGGGCGUGGUGGCACACGCCUAUAGUCCCAGCUACUCAGGAGGCUGAGGCAGGGGAAUCGCUUGAACCCGGGAGGUGGAGGUUGCAGUGAGCCGAGAUCACGCCACUGCACUCCAGCCUGACAACAGAACGCCGUCUAAAAAAAAAAAAAAAAAAAAAAAAAAAAAAGGCAAACUGUAAAGACCUAAAGCAAAAUUAAUCAUGUCCAAAUCCAGAUGGGGGGUUGCAGAUCUUUAUUUUCUUCUUUUUUGAAUUGGUUUCCUACAUUAUUCUUCGCUAUAUUGGUAUUCUAUAUUCGCCAAAUUUUCAACUAUGUGUGGUUCGAAACUAUAUUUAAAAAAUGUUUUUCAUGCAGCAAGGAUGAGCUCAAGGUCAAGGUACUAUAGAUACAAAGAUGUGCAUAGGUCAGCCAUGGUGGCUCACGCCUGCAAUCCCAGCUCUUUGCGAGGCUGAGGCGGGAGGAUUGCUUGAAGCCAGGAGUUUGAGACCAGCCUAGGAAACAGAGGGAGACCCCGUCUCUACAAAAAUUAAAAAUUAGCUGGAUGUGGUGGCGCAUGCACCUGUAGCCUCAGUUACUCAGGAGGCUGAGGUAGGAGGACCACUUGAGUCAGGAGUUCAAGGUUACAGUGAGCUAUGAUCCCUCUACUGCAGUCCAGUCUGGGUGACAAAGUGAGACUCUGUCUAUAAAAGGCAGAAAAAAAAAUGUGCUUAGCAAAGUCAGGACAUUCUCCCAGAACAGGAGUUGAGAACUGAGAGCUUGUGGCUAAGCCUGGCAGCCUAGAUAGGCCUUCCUCUGCCCUCCCACAGCUCUGAAAGCCCAGCAGUGCUCAGGGACACCAAGCCUGCCCUCACAGAGCUCACUCAGACACUGCUGCUGCAGACACCAAACAGCACCUCCCCUUUAGGAGAUGCCUCCUCUGCAAACAAAAGAAAACAAAACAAAACAAAACAACAGCACUCUUCUAUUCACUCAAACCAGUGGUGGCACAAUAGUCCCAGUGGUGGCGCUGGAACUCUAUUUCUCCAGCCUUACAGUUGCCAUGGCAGGCGAGGUCAGCCAGGCCAGAACCCCCACCCCCUUAACACGGCUAGGACGUCAGCCACAGCAAGGAAAGACGCACGUGUCCUCUGUGUUUAAAGCCUUUAAGAGAGCCCCAGGUGCUGUUCUGUUGUUGAUCCGCUUUCCUGGCUAGAGGGGUCCGAUUCUCUUUGUUUGGUGACAUUUUUUUUUCUUGUUCAAUCUUAGUCAAGGGUGUAAGAAACGGUGGCUGCUCCGGGCGUUGGCCCCUUCUCACGGGUUCCUCACUGCCCUCCCCUCCAGGCCAAACUAGCUCACCCCUGCACCCUCCCGCUUAAGGUCAGCUUCCCCACUGUCCACUCAUUCCCUUGCCUUUCAUCCUCACCCUGUGGGUAAUUCAGACGGAUGGUCCCGGGCGUUUCGCGAGGAGAAGGCUGUUGGUGAAUUGGGGGAUGAUCGGGCUGCACAACAAACCGCUCGUGAUGCCGAAUGUGUGCUCGUGGGUCCUGCCCUCCCACCUGGGAGAGGAGUUUUGCUUGUGGCUUCAGAGUUUCUGGGAGUUCCUUGAAAUUCUGUCGAAAACAGUGUGGGUGAUGGAUAUGUGGGUGCUAGGUUUUUUCCCUUGGGAAGGGGAUCCACGAUCCAGAAAAAUGUCGUGAACAUUUAUUUAAUAGCUCCACUUUGUAAAUGAACCACCCCCAGAGGAACUGUAGUUUGGGCCAUCGAGAACAGUGAGGCCGGAAGAACUGCAGGCAAGGGGAGGCUGCCAUUUCCCGCUCAAAGGUGGCGCUUGGUGUGGCAGCGCUGGCGUACUUGGAUGUGGUCAUCGGAAAUGUGGUUUAAGUGAGGAAGAAAAGCACUCUUAGCACCUAGCUCAUGGCCAGGAGUUGGGCUAAAUAGUUUGUAUUUGUCUUCCUGCGUUAGCCUCAGUUUCCCUGUGAGGUGUGACUUACUAUCCUCAUUUUACAGAUGAGGACACAGGCUCAGAGAAGUUAAGGGACUUGCCCUACGUCACAUAGCUAGCAAAGAGACAGAGAUAGAUAUAGAACUAGGACCACGUGGUCAAAGGAACGUGCUGUUUUCAUGGCAUCACGCGGCCCUGUCCCAUCUAUGGUGUCACUGAGGGGUGUGGUAGGGGGCACUGGCACAGACAUGUCACCUGACCUCUUGAAGCUUCAAGUUCUUACACCUUGAAAAUUGAAAUAAAGUCCACCUGUCUUCCCUCCACUUUCUGGCUAUUUGUCAAAGAGCAAUUAAGAGAGCCAAGAGGACCAAGCCAAAUUCAAUGUAGCAGGCUCAACCCCACCUCCCGCUGACCCUCCAAUUCCGGGAGAAGGUUCGGAGGUGAAGGCCCUUGCCAGGUCUCCCAGGACCGAGCCAAGAGAGCAGGCUAGCGUGGUGCCUCCUCCAUGCACACACCUACUCCCAUGCAUGUGUGAAGAGCUUGCAGCGCAGGUCAGUGAGUGGCAUUUCUUUGUUCAGGGUGGCAAGGGGAAAGGGUGUGAGUCAAUUCCCCUUAGGGAGAAGGAGGGCAGAGCACAAGUGAGGGCAGCAUCGACGCCUGAAGCAGCUCACCCCUCCCUCCAUCCUGUCUGUGGGUUCUCUUCCCCUCUUGCCUUCCACACCCCAAGCCCAGGCUAGAAGGCACCUCCCCUCACCCUCAUCCUCCACUUCCAAUCUGCAGCCACAAAGGGUGCGAAAAUUAAUCUGGUGCUUUCGUGAGGGACUGGUGUUAUAGGGCCAACAGGUUCGUAUGCCCACUGCACAGGAGCAGACCAGUUACACAGUAACAGACCAGUUAUGCCCACCGCACAGUAACAGACCAGUUACCAGUUAGGGCUGCAGCAGAGAAAGAGUUUAAUGGUCACAGGGCACUGAGCUAAGAGAUAGGAGGAGCCCCCAAACUCCAUCUCCCCCAGGAUUUCUGGGCUGGAGUCUUUAAGGGGACUGUGGAAGACAAGGGACUGGAGAAUUGGAGCUCUUGAUUGGUUGGGGUAAGGCGGAUGCAUUCACCAGAAUGUAGAAACUGCAUUCUUUGGUGCGUCAGCUCCUAUGGGGUCCUUUAGACCAGCUGACGUGGUAAUUUCACAGGUAUGUAGGAUCUGAAGGACUAUCUCAAAGGGAAGACUUAACAUUUCGUACUGCUCCAGUUGUUAUCUGUAGGACCCUUAGGGUGACUAUAACCUUGUAGCGGGGUCUGUGGGAUUCUAGGUCAAUAGGCAGCAAACAACACGAGGAAGCAGGUGGGAGCGCAGGCCGACCCGCGAUGAACACGAAGUGCGCUGCAAGCUGGGUUUGGUUUCACUCCUCCCCUUCCUUUUGUCCUGAUUCAUUUUAUGAAGUUUAUAGGGGUGGUUUCACUGGGAGUGCUGUGCUCCCUUUGAACUUGGUCUCCCGCUUGAGAAAUGCCACAUGCCGCUCUUGCCCGCCCCCUCUUCCCUGGCCCCUGCUCCUCCCCUCUCCUCCAGGGCUGGGCAUGACGGGCUUCUUCUGUGGUUUACUUUCCCUCCCUUCCUAGACACCCCCCUCCCCUAGAGUGCUUUUACAUCACGUGGCCUCUGAUUAACGUCAGUGAUUCAAACCUUAAAUACUCUCCCUCUGGAGUGAGUGAUUCUUAGACGGGAGCCCAGGUGGCUGCCUGCCCUCUUGCUCCCUAUGGCACCAGCACCCUGGCCGGGGAUGUCUGAGCCAACAGCAGCCGCCUUGAGGAACCAGGUCCUGGGAAUCCAUCCGCACGCUCCCCCUCAGGGAGUCAGAAGAAGCGGCUUCAGGAGAAGGCAAAACAGAAGCCAAAAGACACAGGGCGCGGGGUGGGCGGGGGCGGCAUUAAGCUGCAGGAGAGUGAAGAGACAGCAGGGGCUAGGAGCAGAGACAGAGCCAAGCCAGAUGGGCCUCCGUGUUUGGCCCCAGGCCCCUCUGAGCCCCGUGGUGCUCCAGUUCUCUAGAGGCUGGGCUAGGCUGACGCCCGCAUUGCUGUGCCUGGCCUUCCUGCAAACCCUCCGCCCUGAGGUGACCCGAGCACCGUCGCUGCUUCUCGAAACCUGAAAAAGCCCAUGGUAAAUGUGCCAUGAGGAGCACACGAGGCACCCCGUGUUGAACGCUGAGGACAAGGCUGCACCCGAGGCUGCAGUCAUUUUCAAUCGCUGGAGCAGGGCCUGCAUCGGAAGCCCAGACCUAGCAUAGCAGGAGCUGAGAAAUAGACACAGCGGGCAGGAGGACACGGGGGUCCACAGUCGGGCCACGUCAGGACACAGACCACAGGGUGCCGCAGGAGAUGUGUGGGCAGAACAGACGAGGAGAUAGCCAGCAUGGCUGCGCCCCAGCAUUUGCCCUGGCUGUGAAGGGCAAGCUCCUCUCCUAAGGGUGUCCCCUGACCGCGCUCACCAGUUCCUGAUCCAGACACCUCAUUCUCAGCUCUACUUCAAGGUCACGAUGGCAUGCGGAAUGCAGCGUCUGGCUUCCCCAGGAGAAAGCAGGGCCUCUGAGGUCAGAAAUCAUGUCCUAUGGCACCGCACAGUCCCAGCAGCAGUAGCCUCCAGGGGACUCACUCAGACUUGGCAGGGCUGACCUGGGAAUCUGCAUUCCCCAUGCACUCCCUCACCUGCUGACGGCGACACCCAGCCACCAGUGCAAACUCUACCCCUUGGGGAUCUGCUGCCAGACUCAACACUGGGGCCUGAGGCCCAGGAGUCCUAAGGGUGCUAUUUGGUCAUAUUAGGCCUGUGUAAAGGGAGCCAGGACUAGAGUGAGCGAGGGGCCUGGGGAGGGAAGGAACCGUGGCUUCCCCACACCCUUUCAGCAGCUUCCGUGGUUCUUGCUGGCCUUUUCCAUCACAGGCCACUCUUCAGGACAGUCUCCCGGAUUGACCCCUCUCCUCUCCAGCCUACCUGAUUCCCCGUGCAGUGUCCUCUGUGCAUCCCUCAUUUCAUCUCCUUUCAUGUGAUCCUAGUCCAGGGUUUAGCUUCCCUCCCCUCUUAGGCUGUAAGCUCUGAAUAGGCAGGAAUGUUUUGUGUGGAUUUUUUGUUUGUUUGAAAUGCCAAGUAAGCUGCCACUCUGCCUGUUAGUCAAUGGGACUUGCCGAAUUGUCCUCUCACCACCCCACUCGCCCUUAAAGAUGCUGACUUCUCAGGCCUACAGUUCUUUCCACAGCAGCCUCCUGGCAGCCAGCACUUCCCAGCAGGACCUAAGCUGUGGCUUUACCUCUCCUCUGCCUUGAACGUUCCCCAGUCCAGGUCUUCACCAUCUGGUGAGGCCUGACCUGAGAAGCCCAACCUGGUGAGGCAGAAGUCCUGGGAAGAGGCCCAGAAGACAGCAGACCCUGUUCCUAGGAUAAAGCAACGUGCUUCUGGGCUAUACAACUGCCCUGCAGAUGCAGAAAGAUGACGCACAGAGAAGUGGCAGCCUGCUCCAGUUCCCGUAAUUAAACAUUACAGUCAGGAUUGGAGCCCGAGGUCCAGACACCCAGUGCUCUCUCCAUACUACCGUGGUGCCCGACUCAUACUUCUGCCACGACCGCCCUCUCCAUUUCUGGCCCUGUUUGAAACCCCUAAUUCUCACUGAAAACAAUAAAUCCUCCAAAAUUAAGACAACAGUUUCACACACAGUAGAGCAAAUGGGUGGAUGAGAACAAAUUUAUCCACAGCAAAGACAAUACAGGCACUUUGUGGUUCCCGUUAGGUUAAGGUUGAGCCCCCUAGAGACACCCCCACCUUUGUUUCUCAUGUGAACCCGAGUUCAAAUAGUAACAACAGCAGUUGCUGUGAAUGGAAGUUUUAACAUUGAACUCCUGACUCUUGAAAAGUGUACAUUGUAUAGUGAACACUGUAACAGUGAGCUAGCAAAGGAGUUUUUCUGCUGCUGAGUCCAUCAGGAAAGUCACUGGGAUGUAAGCUGAGAAAGGGAGAGUGUGAGGUUUCAGAGAAAUAAGGGAGUCAUUUAAAAAUACGUUUGUUUAGUUUGUUUUUAACGGUUACAGAACAAUAGACAAUAGAGCCAGGUGUCUCAAUGACAUCUCUCAAGCUUUCCCAAGAUGUAACAUGACUGAGAGCCCAUUCUGUUGAGACCACCGGUACCCAGGAGAGACAGGGAGAGAAAGAGACCACCUAGAAUAGUGUCAUCUGUACAAAUAACAUUAAAACAGAUGGGUGGAGGGAGCCAAUGAAUUCAAGACUUAUUCAAGUUUAAGUGAAAACAAGUCAUACAAAGUUGAGAUAAAAUAUAGAAGAGUUAGAUUUAUUUUUACUGCUUUUAUUAUCUAGGUCACAAAAAAUAUAAAUG